rnacentral:tRNA from 1 species
GCCUGGGUGGCUCAGUCGGUUGAGCGUCUGACUUCGGCUCAGGUCAUGAUCUCACAGUCUGUGAGUUCGAGCCCCGCAUCGGGCC